UACAGAGGGUGCGAGCGUUGUUCGGAAUUACUGGGCGUAAAGCGCGCGCAGGCGGCCCUUUAAGUCUGUCGGUCAAACGCCGGGGCUCAACCCCGUGCUCGCCGGAGAUACUGGAGGGCUGGAGACACGUAGAGGCAAGCGGAAUUCCGGGUGUAGCGGUGGAAUGCGUAGAGAUCCGGAGGAACACCGAUUGCGAAGGCAGCUCGCUGGGACGUUACUGACGCUGAGACGCGAAAGCGUGGGGAGCAAACAGG
rnacentral:rRNA from 1 species